rnacentral:hammerhead_ribozyme from 1 species
GCACUUCUGAGGAGUCCCACAAUAGGAUGAAACAGCUGUUCAGUGC